rnacentral:rRNA from 1 species
GAUGAACGCUGGCGGCGUGCCUAAUACAUGCAAGUCGAGCGAACGGACGAGAAGCUUGCUUCUCUGAUGUUAGCGGCGGACGGGUGAGUAACACGUGGAUAACCUACCUAUAAGACUGGGAUAACUUCGGGAAACCGGAGCUAAUACCGGAUAAUCUUUUGAACCGCAUGGUUCAAAAGUGAAAGACGGUCUUGCUGUCACUUAUAGAUGGAUCCGCGCUGCAUUAGCUAGUUGGUAAGGUAACGGCUUACCAAGGCAACGAUGCAUAGCCGACCUGAGAGGGUGAUCGGCCACACGGGAACUGAGACACGGUCCAGACUCCUACGGGAGGCAGCAGUAGGGAAUCUUCCGCAGUGGGCGAAAGCCUGACGGAGCAACGCCGCGUGAGUGGUGAAGGUCUUCGGAUCGUAAAAAUCUGUUAUUAGGGAAGAACAUAUGUGUAAGUAACUGUGCACAUCUUGACGGUACCUAAUCAGAAAGCCACGGCUAACUACGUG